rnacentral:lncRNA from 1 species
GUUUUGAUUUGAAUAUCUUUGAUGAUUAGUGAUGUUGAGCAUUUUCUCAUGUCAUUUCUUUUGUGAAAUAUCUGUUUGGAGGAAUUUUACUUUUUAGAAUAAUUCAUAGUAGCGCCUCUUUAAAUAUUGGAUAGAAUUCAUCAGUGACGACAUUUAGUCCUGAGCUUUUCAAAAGUCUCUUCAGGUUUUUCAUUUCUUAAUGGUUUUAUCUUGGUAAAGUGUAUGUGUAUAGGACUUUGCCCAUUUCUUCUAGAUUAUCAAAUUUAGUGGCAUAGCUGUUCAUAAUAAUCUCUAAUAUUUUGAAUUUUGUGGUGUCAGCUGUAACAUUUCCCUGUUCAUCUCUUUUUUAUUUAUUUGAGAAGACUUAUUUUUAUGGAUAUUUUGGGAAAGGAAAAAGCACAAGAGGACUGUAUGACUAUAUGAUACAUGAGGACCUUACAACUGAAGCUGCUGAUCACAGACUCGGAUCUCCCAACAGUAAGAGUUUACGAAGACCUCAUCUGCAAAGGACAAGGGGAGGAGAAAAAGUAGCCAUGGGGGUUUUCAAAGUUUCCCAAGUCCUGCCACAGAAUGCCAACCUAACACUGCAUAACGACCAGCAACAGGAAAAGUCACUGCGAUUCCAGCCCAG